GUGGGGAAUUUUGGACAAUGGGCGAAAGCCUGAUCCAGCGACGCCGCGUGUGUGAAGAAGGCCUGCGGGUUGUAAAGCACUUUCGUUGGGAACGAAAUACGCCGACCCAAUACGUCGGUGGGCUGACGUUACCCAAACAAGAAGCACCGGCUAACUCUGUGCCAGCAGCCGCGGUAAUACAGAGGGUGCGAGCGUUAAUCGGAAUUACUGGGCGUAAAGCGCACGUAGGCGGCCAUGUAAGUCGGGUGUGAAAUCCCCGGGCUCAACCUGGGAACUGCAUUCGAAACUGCAUGGCUGGAGUACGGGAGAGGAAGGCGGAAUUCCCGGUGUAGCGGUGAAAUGCGUAGAUAUCGGGAGGAACAUCAGUGGCGAAGGCGGCCUUCUGGCCCAGUACUGACGCUCAGGUGCGAAAGCGUGGGGAGCAAACAGGAUUAGAAACCCUAGUAGUCC
rnacentral:rRNA from 1 species